rnacentral:tRNA from 1 species
UAAAAGAUAGGUUAUAAAAACCACUGAAUUGUGGUUUCAGAGAUAUUUAAUUAAAUUCUUUUUC